rnacentral:rRNA from 1 species
GAUGAACGCUGGCGGCGUGCCUAAUACAUGCAAGUCGAGCGAACGGACGAGAAGCUUGCUUCUCUGAUGUUAGCGGCGGACGGGUGAGUAACACGUGGAUAACCUACCUAUAAGACUGGGAUAACUUCGGGAAACCGUAUCUAAUACCGGAUAAUAUUUUGAACCGCAUGGUUCAAAAGUGAAAGACGGUCUUGCUGUCACUUAUAGAUGGAUCCGCGCUGCAUUAGCUAGUUGGUAAGGUAACGGCUUACCAAGGCAACGAUGCAUAGCCGACCUGAGAGGGUGAUCGGCCACACUGGAACUGAGACACGGUCCAGACUCCUACGGGAGGCAGCAGUAGGGAAUCUUCCGCAAUGGGCGAAAGCCUGACGGAGCAACGCCGCGUGAGUGAUGAAGGUCUUCGGAUCGUAAAACUCUGUUAGUAGGGAAGAACAUAUGUGUAAGUAACUGUGCACAUCUUGACGGUACCUAAUCAGAAAGCCACGGCUAACUACGUG